AGAGUUUGAUCAUGGCUCAGAACGAACGCUGGCGGCAGGCUUAACACAUGCAAGUCGAGCGCCCCGCAAGGGGAGCGGCAGACGGGUGAGUAACGCGUGGGAAUCUACCCUUUUCUACGGAAUAACGCAGGGAAACUUGUGCUAAUACCGUAUGUGUCCUUCGGGAGAAAGAUUUAUCGGGAAAGGAUGAGCCCGCGUUGGAUUAGCUAGUUGGUGGGGUAAAGGCCUACCAAGGCGACGAUCCAUAGCUGGUCUGAGAGGAUGAUCAGCCACAUUGGGACUGAGACACGGCCCAAACUCCUACGGGAGGCAGCAGUGGGGAAUAUUGGACAAUGGGCGCAAGCCUGAUCCAGCCAUGCCGCGUGAGUGAUGAAGGCCCUAGGGUUGUAAAGCUCUUUCACCGGAGAAGAUAAUGACGGUAUCCGGAGAAGAAGCCCCGGCUAACUUCGUGCCAGCAGCCGCGGUAAUACGAAGGGGGCUAGCGUUGUUCGGAAUUACUGGGCGUAAAGCGCACGUAGGCGGAUCGAUCAGUCAGGGGUGAAAUCCCAGGGCUCAACCCUGGAACUGCCUUUGAUACUGUCGAUCUGGAGUAUGGAAGAGGUGAGUGGAAUUCCGAGUGUAGAGGUGAAAUUCGUAGAUAUUCGGAGGAACACCAGUGGCGAAGGCGGCUCACUGGUCCAUUACUGACGCUGAGGUGCGAAAGCGUGGGGAGCAAACAGGAUUAGAUACCCUAGUAGUCC
rnacentral:rRNA from 1 species